rnacentral:rRNA from 1 species
AUUGAACGCUAGCGGGAUGCCUUACACAUGCAAGUCGAACGGAGUGGCGAACGGGUGAGUAAUGUAUCGGAACGUGCCCAGUAGCGCGGGAUAACUACGCGAAAGCGUAGCUAAUACCGCAUACUCUUGGAGCGGCCGAUAUCGGUAUUGCUAGUUGGUGGGGUAACGUCUCACCCAGGCGACGAUCCGUAGCUGGUUUUAGAGGACGACCAGCCACACUGGGACGGAGACACGGCCCAGACUCCUACGGGAGGCAGCAGUGGGGAAUUUUGGACAAUGGGGGAAACCCUGAUCCGGCCAUCCCGCGGGUGCGAUGAAGGCCUUCGGGUUGUAAAGCACUUUUGGCAGGAAAGCGGUACCUGCAGAAUAAGCACCGGCUAACUACGUGCCAGCAGCCGCGGUAAUAC